GCACUCGGAGCGGCAGGCCGGCCUCGACGGCCCCGGGCAGUGAGGGGCUUAGCACCCAAGCCAGCAGCUGCGGAGGGUGCGCCAGGUCCCCCAGCAGUGCCGGCCGACGAUUCUAACUCAAAUAGCUCAAAGGACACCUUCUCCGGGAAACCUUCCCUGACUUCCGACGCUGUUUCCUGUUACCCAUGAUGUACAUUAGAACACAGCAACUAUUUGAGUGAAAUAAGUAUUUUUAUUUAUUUCAAGAGGAAAGCAAAGUCGAAGGGUGUUCAGGGCUACAGUUUUGCUUGACCAGAUGUUGCCAAGUUUCAAAGUCAAAUCGGUUCAUCUCCUGGCUAUCAGCUAAAGGGUGUUGUAUUUGUAAGCAUUGAGAACUUCUAUCUACUGCUAUUGUAUUUUGCAUAUUUGUAUUUUCUGAGUUCUAUUUGAGAGAGACGGAAUUACGCAUUUCCAUAUGGAUCAUCCUCUUCCCUAUGUAUGUUGCUUUAUUGCCUUUUGGAAGAAAAAAAGUGAGAGUUGCAGUCUGUAUUUAGGCCAUUUCUAUGUUCUUUAUUGGGUUACGUUUGAAUGCCCAAUUUGAUCUCAAUGGCACGUCCUUUGUAACAUAAAAUAAAACAUGGUGCUCAGGAAAAGUAACGACACACACAUCCAGGCCCUUUCAUAGCAGUUGGUAAAGCUUAAGCCUUGCCUCUCUGUGUGGUAGUUUCCCUUCCCUUUCUUUUCGUUCCCUGUGACAAGCAGCCAUUGUCCCCUUGGUGAGAUCUGCAAUAUUACUUUGACCCCAGCCCAUCAAUCUGCCUCAAUUGGAUAAUGAUCUGUAAUCACGUUCUUUCAGGGGAGUCUAUAAAUUUGCCAAGGCCCCAUUCUCUUCUGAAGGACUCCUUAUGUUCACUCCCAUUUGUGCAAAUGUGCUCUCUUUUACAGGGCUAAAUAGCCAUGCACAUGGUCCAUUCUGUGAGGAGGCACCGGGCGGUUCUCUGUUGAUUUUCCACGCUCUAGUCUCUUAAAGGAGACUAAGGCUGACAUGCAGGGACACAGUGGGGGGGUGGCCCGAGCCAGGCCACAUCACAGGCAGCCGCUUUUCUCAUUAAGACUGACCCAUCAUUAGGUCACUUUGUGCCAUCCUUGUAAUCAAUGAGCUUAAUGUUUAGUGCAAAAAAAAAAAAA
ensembl:lncRNA HULC hepatocellular carcinoma up-regulated long non-coding RNA